UUACGACCACAUCACACUGAAGCACUUGUUCUUUUCCGAUCGCUGAGGUUAAGCAACAUGAAGCCUUUUCAGUACCUCGAUGGGUGACCGCUUGAGAAUGCCAGGUGCUGUCUG